rnacentral:rRNA from 1 species
AUUGAACGCUGGCGGCAGGCCUAACACAUGCAAGUCGAACGGUAACAGGAAGCAGCUUGCUGCUUUGCUGACGAGUGGCGGACGGGUGAGUAAUGUCUGGGAAACUGCCCGAUGGAGGGGGAUAACUACUGGACACGGUAGCUAAUACCGCAUCACGUCGCAAGACCAAAGAGGGGGACCUUAGGGCCUCUUGCCAUCGGAUGUGCCCAGAUGGGAUUAGCUAGUAGGUGGGGUAACGGCUCACCUAGGCGACGAUCCCUAGCUGGUCUGAGAGGAUGACCAGCCACACUGGAACUGAGACACGGUCCAGACUCCUACGGGAGGCAGCAGUGGGGAAUAUUGCACAAUGGGCGCAAGCCUGAUGCAGCCAUGCCGCGUGUAUGAAGAAGGCCUUCGGGUUGUAAAGUACUUUCAGCGGGGAGGAAGGGAGUAAAGUUAAUACCUUGGCUCAUUGACGUUACCCGAAGAAGAAGCACCGGCUAACUCCGUG